GUAAUUGACACUGAGGAACGAAAGCCAGGGUAGCAAAUGGGAUUAGAUACCCCCAGUAGUCCUGGCCGUAAACGAUGGAUACUAGGUGUUGCGGGUAUCGACCCCUGCAGUGCCGAAGCUAACGCGAUAAGUAUCCCGCCUGGGGAGUACGCACGCAAGUGUGAAACUCAAAGGAAUUGACGGGGACCCGCACAAGCGGUGGAACAUGUGGUUUAAUUCGAAGCAACGCGAAGAACCUUACCAGGGCUUGACAUCUAACUAAUUCUGAUGAAAGUCGGAAGUGCCCUUCGGGGAGAGUUAAGACAGGUGGUGCACGGUUGUCGUCAGCUCGUGUCGUGAGAUGUUGGGUUAAGUCCCGCAACGAGCGCAACCCUCGUCGUUAGUUGGUAUACUUGGUAUACUGAGUAUAACCUCUCUAGCGAGACUGCCGGUGAUAAACCGGAGGAAGGUGAGGACGACGUCAAAUCAUCAUGCCCCUUAUGCUCUGGGCUACACACGUGUUACAAGCGGGGGUACAAAGAGCCGCCAACUCGUGAGAGUGAGCAAAUCUCUAAAAGCCGGUCUCAGUUCGGAUUGUAGUCUACAACUCGACUACAUGAAG
rnacentral:rRNA from 1 species